UCCUGGCUCAGGAUGAACGCUAGCUACAGGCUUAACACAUGCAAGUCGCGGGGUAACAUCUGGUAGAGCUUGCUCUUCCAGGAUGACGACCGGCGCACGGGUGAGUAACGCGUAUCCAACCUGGCCCAUACCACGGGAUAGCCCGUCGAAAGGCGGAUUAAUACCGUAUGCUGUCAUUAAGAUGCAUAUAUUGAUGACGAAAGGACUGGCGGUAUGGGAUGGGGAUGCGUCUGAUUAGCUUGUUGGCGGGGUAACGGCCCACCAAGGCGACGAUCAGUAGGGGUUCUGAGAGGAAGGUCCCCCACAUUGGAACUGAGACACGGUCCAAACUCCUACGGGAGGCAGCAGUGAGGAAUAUUGGUCAAUGGGCGCAAGCCUGAACCAGCCAAGUAGCGUGAGGGAAGACUGCCCUACGGGUUGUAAACCUCUUUUGUUUGGGAAUAAAGUGCGGGACGCGUCCCGCAUUGCAUGUACCAUUUGAAUAAGGACCGGCUAAUUCCGUG
rnacentral:rRNA from 1 species